GUGAAUCAUCGAAUUUUUGAACGCAAAUUGCACUCUCCUCGGAGAGUAUGCCUGUUUGAGGGUCAGCCUAUAAAAAAUCAACAUCGUAGCAGUUUCGCGGUGGUGAUCGUCGGAAAUUGGGUCUUGUUAAGUCCUUUUGAUUUAAGCGACUUAAAAUUUUCUUUUGGUUCCAUGUACGUUUCUAUGUUAUAUUGCUUUAAACGUUUAAGGUAUCGAUUUUUACUAGACGUGACCUUCAUAUCGGAUCGCGUCCAUACUCUUUCAUUAACUUACAUCAGA
rnacentral:misc_RNA from 1 species